rnacentral:rRNA from 1 species
GAUGAACGCUAGCUACAGGCUUAACACAUGCAAGUCGAGGGGCAGCAUCAUCAAAGCUUGCUUUGAUGGAUGGCGACCGGCGCACGGGUGAGUAACACGUAUCCAACCUGCCGACAACACUGGGAUAGCCUUUCGAAAGAAAGAUUAAUACCGGAUGGCAUAGUUUUCCCGCAUGGGAUAAUUAUUAAAGAAUUUCGGUUGUCGAUGGGGAUGCGUUCCAUUAGGCAGUUGGCGGGGUAACGGCCCACCAAACCAACGAUGGAUAGGGGUUCUGAGAGGAAGGUCCCCCACAUUGGAACUGAGACACGGUCCAAACUCCUACGGGAGGCAGCAGUGAGGAAUAUUGGUCAAUGGACGAGAGUCUGAACCAGCCAAGUAGCGUGAAGGAUGACUGCCCUAUGGGUUGUAAACUUCUUUUAUACGGGAAUAAAGUGAGCCACGUGUGGCUUUUUGUAUGUACCGUAUGAAUAAGGAUCGGCUAACUCCGUGCCAGCAGCCGCGGUAAUACGGAGGAUCCGAGCGUUAUCCGGAUUUAUUGGGUUUAAAGGGAGCGUAGGCGGGUUGUUAAGUCAGUUGUGAAAGUUUGCGGCUCAACCGUAAAAUUGCAGUUGAUACUGGCGACCUUGAGUGCAACAGAGGUAGGCGGAAUUCGUGGUGUAGCGGUGAAAUGCUUAGAUAUCACGAAGAACUCCGAUUGCGAAGGCAGCUUACUGGAUUGUAACUGACGCUGAUGCUCGAAAGUGUGGGUAUCAAACAGGAUUAGAUACCCUGGUAGUCCACACAGUAAACGAUGAAUACUCGCUGUUGGCGAUAUACAGUCAGCGGCCAAGCGAAAGCAUUAAGUAUUCCACCUGGGGAGUACGCCGGCAACGGUGAAACUCAAAGGAAUUGACGGGGGCCCGCACAAGCGGAGGAACAUGUGGUUUAAUUCGAUGAUACGCGAGGAACCUUACCCGGGCUUAAAUUGCAACUGACUGAACCGGAAACGGUUCUUUCUUCGGACAGUUGUGAAGGUGCUGCAUGGUUGUCGUCAGCUCGUGCCGUGAGGUGUCGGCUUAAGUGCCAUAACGAGCGCAACCCUUACGGGUAGUUACCAUCAGGUUAUGCUGGGGACUCUACCCGGACUGCCGUCGUAAGAUGUGAGGAAGGUGGGGAUGACGUCAAAUCAGCACGGCCCUUACGUCCGGGGCUACACACGUGUUACAAUGGGGGGUACAGAAGGCAGCUACACGGCGACGUGGUGCUAAUCCCGAAAGCCUCUCUCAGUUCGGAUUGGAGUUCUGCAACCCGACUCCAUGAAGCUGGAUUCGCUAGUAAUCGCGCAUCAGCCACGGCGCGGUGAAUACGUUCCCGGGCCU